rnacentral:rRNA from 1 species
ACGGAAGGCAGCAGUGGGGAAUAUUGGACAAUGGGGGAAACCCUGAUCCAGCGACGCCGCGUGAGUGAAGAAGUAUUUCGGUAUGUAAAGCUCUAUCAGCAGGGAAGAAAAUGACGGUACCUGACUAAGAAGCCCCGGCUAACUACGUGCCAGCAGCCGCGGUAAUACGUAGGGGGCAAGCGUUAUCCGGAAUUACUGGGUGUAAAGGGUGCGCAGGUGGUAAGGCAAGUCAGGAGUGAAAUGCCGGGGCUCAACCCCGGAACUGCUCUUGAAACUGUUUAACUGGAGUGCAGGAGAGGUAAGCGGAAUUCCUAGUGUAGCGGUGAAAUGCGUAGAUAUUAGGAGGAACACCAGUGGCGAAGGCGGCUUACUGGACUGUAACUGACACUGAGGCACGAAAGCGUGGGGAGCAAACAGGAUUAGAUACCCUGGUA